GGGUUUAAAGCGUUCGUAGGUGGUUUGUUAAGUUUGAUGUUAAAGAUCGGGGCUCAACCUCGGGACAGCAUUGAAUACUGGCAGACUUGAGUAUGGUAGAGGCUAGUGGAAUUCCCAGUGUAGCGGUGAAAUGCGUAGAUAUUGGGAAGAACACCGGUGGCGUAGGCGACUAGCUGGGCCAUAACUGACGCUGAGGAACGAAAGCCAGGGGAGCGAAAGGGAUUAGAUACCCCUGUAGUCCUGGCCGUAAACGAUGGAUACUAGGCGUAUCGGGUAUCGACCCCUGAUGUGCCGCAGCUAACGCGAUAAGUAUCCCGCCUGAGUAGUACGGCCGCAAGGUUGAAACU
rnacentral:rRNA from 1 species